AUGCGUGAUCAGGUCGGCAUCGACCUGGACGACUUCUCACUCGACCACGAGUUCUCAGACGACUACGGGCUAGAGGAAGACGAUGGGUGCGACGUCGAAGUGGAGCCUAUGUUCGAGGACGAGCUCGCCAACCAAGCCGCCGGUCCUAAGCCGAAGCGCAAGAGCAAGCGCACGAAUGCAUACACGGCGGCCGAGGACAAGCUUCUUUGCGAGUGUUGGCGAUACAUUGGACAAGACGGCGCCGAGCAAAAGCAUUCAACCUUUUGGAUUCGUUUCCACCGAGAGUUUCAUGAGCGCAAGAAGUUUCCGCCUUACCAAUUUGUGAGCACGCGCGGGUGGGUCUCCAUUUCCAUGUGA
rnacentral:rRNA from 1 species